UUUUAUGGAGAGUUUGAUCCUGGCUCAGGAUGAACGCUGGCGGCGUGCCUAAUACAUGCAAGUCGAGCGAACGGACGAGAAGCUUGCUUCUCUGAUGUUAGCGGCGGACGGGUGAGUAACACGUGGAUAACCUACCUAUAAGACUGGGAUAACUUCGGGAAACCGGAGCUAAUACCGGAUAAUAUUUUGAACCGCAUGGUUCAAAAGUAAAAGACGGUCUUGCUGUCACUUAUAGAUGGAUCCGCGCUGCAUUAGCU
rnacentral:rRNA from 1 species